UAUAUAUAUAUAUAUAUAUAUAUAUAUAUAUAUAUAUAUAUAUAUAUAUAUAUAUAUAUAUAUAUGCAUAUAUGUUAAACCAGGUAAUGUGUUAAAAAUGGGGAUAGGGGAGGAGAUGAAAAUAAGAUAGGAUUGAGCCCAGAGGUUGUUUUUUCUUCAUCCACGAUAACUUCGCUUUUCUCAGUUAGGGUAAUCCAGACCAAAACUAAUCCAUACAUACGCCAUUUUAAAACGAAGUCAAGAAAAAGAAAAAGGGGAAGAAAAAAAAGAAAGUUUAGCGGAGAGAGCGCAGUUUCCAACAACAGGGAAACAGAUGACAGGAUGACACGUGGGUGAGGGCAGGAGGGAGGGGCGGCUGGCAAGAACACGUGCCUUGCUUGUCUGUCCUUCCUUCACUGCUCGCAUUUCGUCAAGCUGGUGAAGGAGUUCGUUAUUAAAAAGAAAUAAGAAAUAAGGAUUUCUCAAAUUACGUAUAUGAGGAAGAGAAAAUAACUGUUUACAUAUUAAAUGUUUUAAAGAUACUGGAGGAGGAAAUACUAAAUCAAACGCCAUUUUACGUAAUAUUUUGAGUUUGAUUUGAUAUUUCAUUCUUUUGAAAUAUCACAAAACAGGUGGUCACAUUUACCCAAACUUGAGAUACAUUUUUACCGUGGAAUAAGUUUUGGGAAAUAGUAAUAAACCCCGAAUUAAUGUCGAACAUUUCAUUCCUAUAAAAACGUCUUCAGAUUACUGUGGCAGAAAAUUAACUGGCUUAAACAGGUUAAACCAUGUUAUUUAGACUUGAUUACGCAGCUUAAGUGUUAACCCACUGCUGUCGGGUACACGUACUAUAGUUGAUUUUUAUGAAUAAAGUCCACAAGUGUUCAGCCACCAAAGAGCCAAUUAGUACGCCUACGUGACCUUACCUGAUCUCUUGAAUAAUCAAGGAAAAAUAAAAAUCGAAUGCUAAUAUCAUCAUCAUCAUCAUCAUCAUCAUCAUCAUCAUCAUCAUCAUCAUCAUCAUCAUUCAUCAUCAUCAUCAUCAUCAUCAUCAUCAUCAUCAUCAUCAUCAUCAUCAUCAUCAUCAUCAU